GACGAACGCUGGCGGCGCGCUUAACACAUGCAAGUCGAGCGAAGCGGCGGACGGGUGAGUAACACGUGAGUAACCUGCCUUAGACAUUGGGAUAGCCUCGGGAAACCGGGAUUAAUACCAAAUGGUCUAAGAUGGACUGGCGUCCCAUUAGCUAGUUGGUGGGGAACGGCCCACCAAGGCGACGAUGGGGAGCCGGCCGGAGAGGGUGACCGGCCACAUUGGAACUGAGAAACGGUCCAAACUCUACGGGAUGCAGCAGUGGGGAAUAUUGCACAAUGGAGGUACCUCUGAUGCAGCGACGCCGCGUGAACGAAGAAGGCUUUCGAGUCGUAAAGUUCUUUUAUAUGGGAAGCGGUACCAUAAGAAAAAGCCCCGGCUAACUACGUGCCAGCAGCCGCGGUAAUAC
rnacentral:rRNA from 1 species